rnacentral:misc_RNA from 1 species
UCAAACUUGGUCAUUUAGAGGAAGUAAAAGUCGUAACAAGGUUUCCGUAGGUGAACCUGCGGAAGGAUCAUUACAAAUCCAUCACGUCUCUCUCACCCGAGACAACGUUGACCUGUUCCCCGGCAGGAUGUGCUGGUUGGUUGGUGUGGCAUGAUGAUGAUGACGAUGUCGGCGUCACGUGUCCCCCCCCCUCCGUCCUGCCGAAACCCCUUUAAACAACCUAGUGUGACUGUUGCUCAUAUGUAUGUCUCUGUUAUUACACAACACGCGCAAUAACAAGAAACAACUUAUAACAAUGGAUCUCUAGGCUCUUGCAUCGAUGAAGAACGCAGC